rnacentral:rRNA from 1 species
GGCUACGAGGACGAACGCUGGCGGCGUGCUUAACACAUGCAAGUCGAACGGUAAGGCCCUUCGGGGUACACGAGUGGCGAACGGGGUGAGGUAACACGUGGGUGAUCUGCCCUGCACUUCGGGAUAAGCCUGGGAAACUGGGUCUAAUACCGGAUAGGACUCCUGGCUUCAUGGUUGGGGGUGUAAAGCUUUUGCGGUGUGGGAUGGGCCCGCGGCCUAUCAGCUUGUUGGUGGGGUAAUGGGCCUACCAAGGCGACGACGGGUAGCCGGCCUGAGAGGGUGACCGGCCACACUGGGACUGAGAUACGGCCCAGACUCCUACGGGAGGCAGCAGUGGGGGAUAUUGCACAAUGGGCGCAAGCCUGAUGCAGCGACGCCGCGUGAGGGAUGACGGCCUUCGGGUUGUAAACCUCUUUCAAUAGGGACGAAGCGCAAGUGACGGUACCUAUAGAAGAAGGACCGGCCAACUACGUG